CUAGAUUUUGAUGAAGAAAUCGACAAACUUGAACUGCAGGACUCGUGGCGCUGCUCGCCUCCUCGCCAAUGCGAAUG